CAUGCAAAUGUGCGGACACACCCUUAUAAAAUUGUUUCCCACCUGAAAAAGCUUCUACUGAUUUUCCAAGACUGAAUUCAAGGAAAGAAUACCCUGAGAUAUCUGGAUUUUCCAAAGUGGAAGCUGAUAAGGUGUGCACAGCUGGGGGAGUCUCAGAUGGCUGGAGAGACAAAAGUCAGAGCUCAGGAAUCACCAAAAAGGAAGGCCAGCUGCUGAAAGCCGCAUUUUAAACCUGAGAGCCUGUCAGGACACACAGAGGCAUCCAUGGAAAGCCUGUUUUGCGUGUGAACAGCUGGGAGCUGGCCCAUGCUUCUUCAGUUCUGUGCUUUUUGGUCUACAGACUGAUUUCUGUCAUACUGAAGCAAUCCUCACAAUGUUCACAAGAAUUCUGGACAGAAAUACAAUUAUAAUUGAGCAUGAAUCAGGCUGCUCUUUGACCCACUUCCUUGUAACUAAAAGUCAUGUAGCACUAGAUACUGACCAUUCGCUAGAUAUCAACCACUCGCUAGAUACCGACCACUCGCUAGAUACUGACCAUUCGCAUCCCCACUGUUCCCAUAGAUAGCAUCUCUGAUGUUAGAAUCAGAAGGCUUUUGUUUAAGAAUUGCUUAGGCAGAUCCUGAAUUCUGGUGGAACAGCUGAUGCCAACCAGUUUGAAGAGCCCCACAGAGGAACUGAACUGGCAUGAGAAUACAAUGGCUUCCUCUCCCCAUCCCAUGACUUCACCUUGUACUCUUGACCAAUCAACAAUCUCCACACUUCAUGCUACUCCAACCCUUUAAAACCCUCCUAGGGGAGAUGGAUUUGAAGUCUCCCCGUCUCCUCGUUCAACGGUGCUACAAUUAAACCUUUCUCUCUGCUGCAACCCAGUGUUUCGGUGUAUCGACUUGCCAUGCGUCAGGCAAUGGAUCUAUAUGAAGAGGCAUUCUUCAGACCUCCAGACACUGGCUAACCAGCAUUUACUGUAAAUCAAGAGGUUUACACUUGCCAACUGAAAACGCAGGUUGAAGAAAUGGAGCUGAAUUCCAGGUAAGCUGCAGUCAGGUUGAGGCAGCACAGUGGAAACUGUAGGCUAUGCCCAGGGCUUUACACACCAUCUCACUUAACCUCCCCAGCAUUCCUCAUUAUCAAAGGAUAGUUUGCUUCUCAGCUGCUCUGUAGUUAAGGACCAAAUUCUCAAGCAUCCCUACUUACAGUGGGCAUGACGUUGAGCUUUCUUAGUAGGGCCUCGCCUGCUGAUCACUUCCCUGCAGCUCCCUCGACACUAUGCCAGCAGCUCCAGGCCUCCAACCCACAGCAACACCACGUGUCCUCUGCAAGCCUGUUAACACUCUCUGCUUGCCCAGCACUUGUGGACCAGCUUUGACCCAGGCAAUCCGGCGAACUUCUGUGUCAUCCAGGAGUGGCAAGCACACCUUCUCUCUCUUCCAAGUUCACCUUGCUCGGGCAUGCUCCUGCAGCCUCAGGAAUCAUAGAGGGAUUUUGUUACAGGUAUUUACUUGCUUAAAAGAACUAAAUAAUUCACUGCUGUUUAAAUUAUUGUGUAGUCCCAUUUCCAUCCCUGGCUGGACCCAGACUCAUACACACAGGAAAGUGGGGAUGGCUGUAUAUUCAUUUUGAGAUGAGAAAACUGACAUGCUGAGAAAUCAACAG
rnacentral:lncRNA from 1 species